UGUUCUGUGGCUUAGUUGGUUAAAGCACCGGUCUAGCGAAUACAGAAUCGUGGGGUUCGAAUUCCACCAGAACAU
rfam:Aedes albopictus isolate Foshan contig52604, whole genome shotgun sequence.